AUAUUAGCUGGGAAAGGCUGACUGUGCCUAUGAUUUCUAAGAGUGGCUAGUCUGAUCAGAAUUGUAAGGCAAAUUUCCCCUUCCUCCACCUAGUCUUCAUGAAUAUUUCUUCAAAGUUAUAUCUUCAUUGAGGAGGUUGACCUUCCCCAUUAGAAGAGUGUCAUUCUUCACUCAAAGGUAAAUGAAUAUCUACACUUCACUAGAAUAAUUAAUGUCAAACACUGAUUAAAAGUAGCAGAGAACAGGAGCUGCCUAUCAAAUUUCCAAAUGUGG
rnacentral:snRNA from 1 species